GCCGGGCGUGGUAGCUCACGCCUGUAAUCCCAACACUUUGGGAGGCUGAGGCACGUGGAUCACCUGAGGUCAGGAGUUUGAGACCAGCCUGACCAACAUGGUGAAACCCUGUCUCUA
rnacentral:SRP_RNA from 1 species